GAGUUUUGAUCUUGGGCUCAGGACCGAACGCCUGGCGGCGUGCUUAACCACAUGCAAGUCGAACGGUAAGGGCCCCAGCUUGCUGGGGUACACGAGUGGCGAACGGGUGAGUAACACGUGGGUGACUUGCCCCGCACUUCGGGAUAAGCCUGGGAAACUGGGUCUAAUACCGGAUAGGACCGCACCGUGAGGGUGUGGUGGAAAGUUUUUUCGGUGUGGGAUGGGCCCGCGGCCUAUCAGCUUGUUGGUGGGGUAAUGGCCUACCAAGGCGGCGACGGGUAGCCGGCCUGAGAGGGUGGACGGCCACAUUGGGACUGAGACACGGCCCAGACUCCUACGGGAGGCAGCAGUGGGGAAUAUUGCACAAUGGGCGGAAGCCUGAUGCAGCGACGCCGCGUGGGGGAUGACGGCCUUCGGGUUGUAAACUCCUUUCACCAUCGACGAAGGUUUUCUGACGGUAGAUGGAGAAGAAGCACCGGCUAACUACGUGCCAGCAGCCGCGGUAAUACGUAGGGUGCGAGCGUUGUCCGGAAUUACUGGGCGUAAAGAGCUCGUAGGUGGUUUGUCGCGUCGUCUGUGAAAUUCCGGGGCUUAACUCCGGGCGUGCAGGCGAUACGGGCAUAACUUGAGUACUGUAGGGGAGACUGGAAUUCCUGGUGUAGCGGUGAAAUGCGCAGAUAUCAGGAGGAACACCGGUGGCGAAGGCGGGUCUCUGGGCAGUAACUGACGCUGAGGAGCGAAAGCAUGGGUAGCGAACAGGAUUAGAUACCCUGGUAGUCCAUGCCGUAAACGGUGGGCGCUAGGUGUAGGGGUCUUCCACGACUUCUGUGCCGUAGCUAACGCAUUAAGCGCCC
rnacentral:rRNA from 1 species